rnacentral:rRNA from 1 species
GACAGAGGCCUCGAGCGUUAGGCGGAAUCACUGGGCUUAAAGCGUGUGUAGGCGGAUUGGUAAGUACCUUGUGAAAUCCCACAGCUCAACUGUGGAACUGCUGGGUAUACUGCUUAUCUUGAGCCACUUAGGGGCUGUCGGAACAAAUGGUGGAGCGGUGAAAUGCGUAGAUAUCAUUUGGAACGCCAAAGGUGAAAACAGACAGCUGGGAGUGUGCUGACGCUGAGACACGAAAGCCAGGGGAGCGAACGGG